UCAGGACGAACGCUGGCGGCGUGCUUAACACAUGCAAGUCGAGCGGUAAGGCCCUUCGGGGUACACGAGCGGCGAACGGGUGAGUAACACGUGGGUAACCUGCCCUGUACUCUGGGAUAAGCCUGGGAAACUAGGUCUAAUACCGGAUAUGACCUGCCUCCGCAUGGUGGUGGGUGGAAAGUUCCGGCGGUACAGGAUGGACCCGCGGCCUAUCAGCUUGUUGGUGGGGUAAUGGCCUACCAAGGCGACGACGGGUAGCCGGCCUGAGAGGGUGACCGGCCACACUGGGACUGAGACACGGCCCAGACUCCUACGGGAGGCAGCAGUGGGGAAUAUUGCACAAUGGGCGAAAGCCUGAUGCAGCGACGCCGCGUGAGGGAUGACGGCCUUCGGGUUGUAAACCUCUUUCAGCGGGGACGAAGGGCAACUGACGGUACCCGCAGAAGAAGCACCGGCUAACUACGUGCCAGCAGCCGCGGUAAUACGUAGGGUGCGAGCGUUGUCCGGAAUUAUUGGGCGUAAAGAGCUCGUAGGCGGUUUGUUGCGUCGGCUGUGAAAACUUCACGCUUAACGUGGAGCCUGCAGUCGAUACGGGCAGACUUGAGUUCGGCAGGGGAGACUGGAAUUCCUGGUGUAGCGGUGAAAUGCGCAGAUAUCAGGAGGAACACCGGUGGCGAAGGCGGGUCUCUGGGCCGAUACUGAC
rnacentral:rRNA from 1 species